rnacentral:siRNA from 1 species
ACUAGCAUAUCAUGAUGUGGUUGG